AUUUCCCUGCUCUGUUUGUGAUUCACAACAGUCCUUGAACCGUAAUAGAAACGAUCACGGAAUACGUUCUGCUCGUGGCCGGCAUGCCUUUACUGGAAGCCGAAAGCGGGCAAAUAAGUUCCACAUGUAGCAAUACAUGUUCAAAGGAUCGAGUUGGACACGGCAAGAGUGGGGGUUCU
rnacentral:other from 1 species